ACGGGUGAGGAAUACAUCGGAAUCUACUCUGUCGUGGGGGAUAACGUAGGGAAACUUACGCUAAUACCGCAUACGACCUACGGGUGAAAGCAGGGGAUCUUCGGACCUUGCGCGAUUGAAUGAGCCGAUGUCGGAUUAGCUAGUUGGCGGGGUAAAGGCCCACCAAGGCGACGAUCCGUAGCUGGUCUGAGAGGAUGAUCAGUCACACUGGAACUGAGACACGGUCCAGACUCCUACGGGAGGCAGCAGUGGGGAAUAUUGGACAAUGGGCGCAAGCCUGAUCCAGCCAUACCGCGUGGGUGAAGAAGGCCUUCGGGUUGUAAAGCCCUUUUGUUGGGGAAGAAAUCCAGCUGGCUAAUACCCGGUUGGGAUGACGGUACCCAAAGAAUAAGCACCGGCUAACUUCGUGCCAGCAGCCGCGGUAAUACGAAGGGUGCAAGCGUUACUCGGAAUUACUGGGCGUAAAGCGUGCGUAGGUGGUCGUUUAAGUCCGUUGUGAAAGCCCUGGGCUCAACCUGGGAACUGCAGUGGAUACUGGGCGACUAGAAUGUGGUAGAGGGUAGCGGAAUUCCUGGUGUAGCAGUGAAAUGCGUAGAGAUCAGGAGGAACAUCCAUGGCGAAGGCAGCUACCUGGACCAACAUUGACACUGAGGCACGAAAGCGUGGGGAGCAAACAGGAUUAGAUACCCUGGUAGUCCACGCCCUAAACGAUGCGAACUGGAUGUUGGGUGCAAUUUGGCACGCAG
rnacentral:rRNA from 1 species